ensembl:snRNA U2 U2 spliceosomal RNA
UUACCUUCAAAAUUUAUUAAUUUAAUUUAUGUAUCUGUUCUUAUCAGUUUAAUAUCUGAUACGUCCUCUAUCCGAGGACAAUAUAUUAAAUGGAUUUUUGGAGCAGGGAGAUGGAAUAGGAGCUUGCUCCGUCCACUCCAUGCAUCGACCUGGUAUUGCAGUACUUCCAGGAACGGUGCACUCCCC